rnacentral:rRNA from 1 species
AUUGAACGCUGGCGGCAGGCCUAACACAUGCAAGUCGAACGGUAACAGGAAGCAGCUUGCUGCUUCGCUGACGAGUGGCGGACGGGUGAGUCAUGUCUGGGAAGCUGCCUGAUGGAGGGGGAUAACUACUGGAAACGGUAGCUAAUACCGCAUAAUGUCGCAAGACCAAAGAGGGGGACCUUCGGGCCCCUUGCCAUCGGAUGUGCCCAGAUGGGAUUAGCUUGUUGGUGGGGUAACGGCUCACCAAGGCGACGAUCCCUAGCUGGUCUGAGAGGAUGACCAGCCACACGGGGACUGAGACACGGUCCAGACUCCUACGGGAGGCAGCAGUGGGGAAUAUUGCACAAUGGGCGCAAGCCUGAUGCAGCCAUGCCGCGUGUAUGAAGAAGGCCUUCGGGUCGUAAAGUACUUUCAGCGGGGAGGAAGGGAGUAAAGUUAAUACCUUUGCUCAUUGACGUUACCCGCAGAAGAAGCACCGGCUAACUCCGUG